rnacentral:rRNA from 1 species
AGCGAACGCUGGCGGCAUGCUUAACACAUGCAAGUCGCACGGUCGGGGCAACCUGGCAGUGGCGGACGGGUGAGUAACGCGUAGGUAUCUGUCCAUGGGUGGGGGAUAACCGGGGGAAACUCCGGCUAAUACCGCAUGAAACCUGAGGGUCAAAGGCGCGAGUCGCCUGUGGAGGAGCCUGCGUCCGAUUAGCUAGUUGGUGGGGUAAAGCCUACCAAGGCGACGAUCGGUAGCGGUCUGAGAGGAUGAUCAGCCACACUGGACUGAGACACGGCCCAGACUCCUACGGGAGGCAGCAGUGGGGAAUAUUGGACAAUGGGCGCAAGCCUGAUCCAGCCACG